rnacentral:rRNA from 1 species
GCAGGUCUCUGGGCUGUUACUGACGCUGAGGAGCGAAAGCAUGGGGAGCGAACAGGAUUAGAUACCCUGGUAGUCCAUGCCGUAAACGUUGGGCACUAGGUGUGGGGGACAUUCCACGUUCUCCGCGCCGUAGCUAACGCAUUAAGUGCCCCGCCUGGGGAGUACGGCCGCAAGGCUAAAACUCAAAGGAAUUGACGGGGGCCCGCACAAGCGGCGGAGCAUGCGGAUUAAUUCGAUGCAACGCGAAGAACCUUACCAAGGCUUGACAUCCACCGGACCGCACUGGAGACAGUGCUUCCCUUCGGGGCUGGUGGACAGGUGGUGCAUGGUUGUCGUCAGCUCGUGUCGUGAGAUGUUGGGUUAAGUCCCGCAACGAGCGCAACCCUCGUUCUAUGUUGCCAGCACGUGAUGGUGGGGACUCAUAGGAGACUGCCGGGGUCAACUCGGAGGAAGGUGGGGAUGACGUCAAAUCAUCAUGCCCCUUAUGUCUUGGGCUUCACGCAUGCUACAAUGGCCGGUACAAAGGGUUGCGAUACUGUGAGGUGGAGCUAAUCCCAAAAAGCCGGUCUCAGUUCGGAUUGAGGUCUGCAACUCGACCUCAUGAAGUCGGAGUCGCUAGUAAUCGCAGAUCAGCAACGCUGCGGUGAAUACGUUCCCGGGCCUUGUA